rnacentral:rRNA from 1 species
CAGCCGCCACGGUAAUACGGAAGGUCCGGGCGUUAUCCGGAUUUAUUGGGUUUAAAGGGAGCGUAGGCCGCCCCUUAAGCGUGUUGUGAAAUGCGGGUGCUCAACAUCCGACUUGCAGCGCGAACUGGGGGGCUUGAGUGCGCCGAAAGUAGGCGGAAUUCGUGGUGUAGCGGUGAAAUGCUUAGAUGUCACGAAGAACUCCGAUUGCGAAGGCAGCUUACUGUAGCGCAACUGACGCUGAUGCUCGAAAGCGUGGGUAUCGAACAGGAUUAGAUACCCCUGUAGUCCCUGUCUCUUAUAU